rnacentral:rRNA from 1 species
GACCCGUCUUGAAGCACGCCAAGGAGUUACAUGUGCGCGAGUCACUCGGUCUUGAAUAGGCCAGAGAGGCGCAAUGAAAGUAAAGUUGAUUGAGUUACGAUCCUCAUUUGUCUUCGGACGGUGGGGCGCAGUAACAGCCCGCCAAUUUCGCUUAUUGACGAUAUGGCGGAGUUAUAGCGUACACGUUGGUACCCGAAAGAUGGUGAACUAUGCCUGGGCAAGACGAAGCCAGAGGAAACUCUGGUGGAGGUCUGUAGCGAUUCUGACGUGCAAAUCGAUCGUCCGACCUGGGUAUAGGGGCGAAAGACUAAUCGAACCAUCUAGUAGCUGGUUCCCUCUGAAGUUUCCCUCAGGAUAGCAGACACUCGAUGAGACUCAGUCUCAUCCGGUAAAGCGAAUGAUUAGAGGCAUUGGGGUCGAAACGACCUCAACCUAUUCUCAAACUUUAAAUGGGUGAGAAGCAUGACUUGUUUGAUUAAAGCCAUGCUGUUGGAUGUAUGAGUGCCUAUGGGCCAUUUUUGGUAAGCAGAACUGGCGCUGUGGG